GUUGAACAUACGCUUUUUUCUCUUCUCAGAAACUCACGUGUUUCAUUGGAGUUGCUUAUGAAGGGGCUGAAGUUCAUCAGGAGCCACUUGGAACAGUUUAGCCGCCGCAUGGACAACUCCCAACAGAUUGUAGACAUUUUACUCGUGCACGGAAACUCUGAAUGUAGCGAUGUAAGACUCGAAGUCGCCCAGUGUUGGGUUGCUUAUCUUUUAAAAGGGAGAGUCGUUUCUGAGGCUUUGCUGCCCUCUGUAGGAAAGGAGUUUAUAAUUGGCUGUACCGAUAUUGUUCCAACCAUUUCUGCCACUUACGCGGUCCUGUUUUCUUUUUAUUCUCUGCGAUACCCCUUUC